rnacentral:rRNA from 1 species
GACGAACGCUGGCGGCGUGCUUAACACAUGCAAGUCGAACGGAAAGGCCCUGCUUUUGUGGGGUGCUCGAGUGGCGAACGGGUGAGUAACACGUGAGUAACCUGCCCUUGACUUUGGGAUAACUUCAGGAAACUGGGGCUAAUACCCGAUAGGAGCUCCUGCUGCAUGGUGGGGUUUGGAAAGUUUCGGCGGUUGGGGAUGGACUCGCGGCUUAUCAGCUUGUUGGUGGGGUAGUGGCUUACCAAGGCUUUGACGGGUAGCCGGCCUGAGAGGGUGACCGGCGACAUUGGGACUGAGAUACGGCACAGACUCCUACGGGAGGCAGCAGUGGGGAAUAUUGCACAAGGGGCGGAAGCCUGAUGCAGAAACGCCGCGUGCGGGAUGACGGCCUUCGGGUUGUAAACCGAUUUCGACUGUGACGAAGCGUGAGUGACGGUAAUGGGUAAAGAAGCACCGGCUAACUACGUG